AUGGAGUUAGGAGGAUCCGAAAUGGUAUUGGGCAUGGACUGGCUAGCUAGUCUUGGCACUAUUGAAGCCAACUUUGGCAAUAUGUGUUUGCAAAUUACUUUAUCCAACCAAGGUGAUCAUAUUUUGUGCACAAUAUGGCGGAGAACAACAAUGAAAAAGUCAGUUCGUAACAACUCGGUGAGUGGGAGAAAAUUCUGGAAGAGUAUGAGGACAUUUUCAACAUGCCAUUUGGAUUACCACCUAUUAGGGAUCAUCAUCACGCUACUGUGUUGA